GCCCCGCUGGCGCAAUGGUAGCGCGCGAGACUUCUAAAGUAAAUUACCCCAACAGGGACUGCUUAGUAAUCUCGAGGCUGCGGGUUCGAGUCCCGCGCGGGGUA